UAAGGUUUAGAUGGUUUUUUGGGGUUUAGUGCAGUUUAGAAAAAGUAAUUUUUGUAAUUUUAUUUGUAUUAGAGAUUUUUGAAGUAGAUAUUAUUUAGGAGCAGUUUUGGAGGUGUAAAAAUUUUUUAUUAGUAAUAUGCAGGUAUGUACCUUUGGUAUCAGGGUGUGUUAAAAUUUUGGAUGAAUUUUAUUUUCCCGAAAUGGAGUGAGCUACAGGGCUAAGUUCUUAUUAUGGCAUAAAUAAGGGUAAUAGUUGAUGUAGUAGUGAGAUUCUAUCCGGACUUCGAGGUAUCUGGUUUCUGUAGAAAUUAUGGAGAUAGGUUUUAGAUUAUUAUUAAUUUGAAAUAAAGUUUGUUAGGGAUAAGCUUAACGUUCUAUGUUUAUAUUAGUGUGUUUUUAUUAGGUAAUUAAAGCUUAAAAGUAGCUUUGUGUUUUAUAACAUAGCUUAUUUAUUUGUUAUUAGUUAGGUAUCCAGAGGUGCUUGUAAUUGGUUAUAGGUAGUAAUAAUGAUAUAAUUAGUAGAGUUGGUUUUAGGUUUGAAAAGUAAGUAAAGAUGUUAACGUUUAGAUUAUUUAGGUACUAAUGAGGAACUCGGCAAAUUUAUUUUUUAGCUGUUUAUCAAAAACAUUUUCCUAAGAGUAUAAUUAGGGUAAGUUCUGCCCCCUG
rnacentral:rRNA from 1 species